rnacentral:rRNA from 1 species
UAAAACGUAGGGGACAAGUGUUAUCCGGAUUCACUGGGCGUAAAGCGCGUGCAGGUGGUGCUUUAAGUUGGGCGUGAAAUCUCCCGGCUUAACUGGGAGGAGUCGUUCAAUACUGGAGCACUUGAGGGCAGGAGAGGGAGGUGGAAUUCCCGGUGUAGUGGUGAAAUGCGUAGAUAUCGGGAGGAACACCAGUGGCGAAGGCGGCCUCCUGGCCUGCUUCUGACACUAAGACGCGAAAGCUAGGGGAGCAAACGGGAUUAGAUACCCCGGUAGUCCUAGCUGUAAACGAUGGAUACUAGGUGUGGGUGGCAUUGACCCCAUCCGUGCCGAAGCUAACGCGAUAAGUAUCCCGCCUGGGGACUACGGCCGCAAGGUUA